AAACUAUUCCAAAGGUGUUUUGCUGUUUUGUGUGCCCGUGCAUUCCAUCAACUUGAUCGGCUGCCUCUUGCCAGCAUUGUUUGAAUUACUGCAAAACCAUCGCUGCACUCGUUUUCACUUGCUUUGGUUCGCUGCCUGUGUACAUCUUGGUGCCAGCUGCGGACUGUGGACCAACUUUUCGUGGCCGUGUAACUCUCGCAUCGUCACAGUGUGUCUUCCGCUUCUCUGUCUGUGGGACCACUGCAUCGUAGGUUUCUUCUGCUGCUCCACACGUUUUCGACUGCUUCGUGUUCCUUUGUUCAUCUGGCUUGUACAUUUCUGUCGCUGCACUAUCAGCUUACCAUAAUCUACUUUAGAGCCAUCUUUGCACCACCGGCGUAUUUUCGACGUAAGUUAACCUUUAUGAUUACAAGCCUUCUAAAGAGUUAUAGAUCAUUUAUGCAUACAUUGCACUGCAUUGCACUCCAUUAUAUCUGCGUACAUCCACCCUUGUUUUUUUAAAUAUUCAAAAUGAUUUGCAAACUAUAAUUUGUUUACUAAUUUUGUACAAAAAUAUGGUUCAUACUACAAACCAGAGUUGUGAAAAAUGCAUUAAU